GUUUGGGGAAGCUAGAAACUGCAUAAAAGGCAAGGGAAGUUUAUUUGUAUCGUAUCAUUUAUACACAAGGCAAUUUAAAGUGCUUUACAGAUGCAAGAAAAUAUAUUUGAAAUGAAAAAAAAAAAGAUUAAAUUUAAAAUCAAUUAGACAAAGAGAGAAAUUUUUGUGACUGUUCUGUGUUUUUUUUUUUAAAUCAUUAUAAAUUUUUUAUCAAAACCAUCAUUUACUAGAAAAACGCUCCCCACAGGGAGGAGUGGCUGCAGAUUUGUGCAUAACAUGGUGGGAGUUUGAACGUGCCUCUCAAACAUGUUAAAUAUAGAUGCAAAACAGCAACCGCAAUAGGUUUCCGGGUUUGAUAAAUCACAUUGCGGGUGCUAAAUGGUUCUAUUUGCAUAGAAUUUUGCGUGGUCUGAUGAUCUACGUACAAUAUGCAUAUUCAUGAAGGCAAACACGCUCAAUGGAUUGCGUGCAGUUUUGCUCAUUUGACAGACGCAAUUCUUUGGUGCACCCAGUUAGUGGAUCAGCUUUGCGCGUGCUAUCAAGUUUGCAUGUGUUUUUGCUCAUGCAAACCUUUGGUAGAUCAGGCCCAGAGUCUCUUAUAACAAUUUUCUGCAGAUACAAAUUUUCAUGAAUGAACAGCAGCUUCAAAAACAGGCUGGAUCUAAAUCAUGUUUACCUGGUUUUCAGUGCCACGAAAUCUCUUUGGAGUGAGCAUAUGUGUCUGUGUAGUUUUUAAACUAUAUUUCCACGACACACUUGUUGAUGACCUGAAAAACCAAUGUAAAACUGAAGCUGUCAGUUUGGCUAAAAAGUACUCUGGAGAAGCAGCUUCAAGAUAUUAUUAAGCUGAUCCGAUACAAAGGCAGGAAAGGUCUACUCUUUGGCUUCUGUCCGUGCAUUAUAACAAAAAGAAAGGUGGAAGAACGCCAGUGAACCUGCUAGCCAUCUGAUUAGCAUCGCGGGGUGUCCUGCGAAAACAUCAGGUUGAAGACUAAAGAAAUCAACAUGAUGGAUGGAGGACAGUUUCAGGCUAAUACUGACCGGCUUUACUGAUUCCUCCUGUGCAAACGCUUUCCUGUUUGUGCACGUGUUGCCAAAAAAGAUGGCAGGCUCCUAAUGAAUGAUCGGACAAACAGAAAGUUUAAAUACGUUUUGGCUGUGGAAGAGAAAAUAAAGGCCUGUCUCAAAUAAAGGCAGGGUGAGUCCACUUUAACCUUUGUGAGCACUUAAACCACCAGGGCAAUGGCGCUCUAUAUGGUGCCCUUUUAAAAACUGAAACUCAGCAGAAUUUAAUUAUGGAGAAUAAUGGCAUAAAUUAUGUGAAUACUUUAACCCUUUGUUUUUCACAUUAUUCACAUAACUUGAUGGGUUUGUGAGAAAAAGGUUUUCUUUUAAAACAGAAAUCUAAAAGUGUUUCACUCCAUCCUCUCAUCUUGAGUUAUUUGUUGUCACCUUAAGCAUCCUUCUUGUUCCUCAAAGCCACCCUGCAUCUCCAUCCCUUGCUCCCUUUGUCCCACCCUCCAUCCUUCCUUUGUCCUGCUCCACACAUCGCUGCUGCUGUGCACACGGGGGAUGUGAUAUCUCUGCCGAUCCCCCUCCCCCACACUCUAUAGCCCCCCCUUUACCCCUUUUUUUUUCUUUCUUGAGGGUGCUUGGGUGCGUUGUACGUGUUCACCGUUGAAUCGUUGCUCAAACACAGAGUGUGCGCAUGCAUUUGAGUGAUAAAUGAAGAGGAACUUGAGGAACUGCAGGGGUUGUGUCACAGAUGAUGACUGCAUAUCUCUGCAUAUGGGCCCGACACUCACUGCCAUUGCAAAGGCCACCCGAUUUAUCUCUCAAAUACAUAUAAAUGUGUUAUAAGGGCAGCUACACAGCCUGUAUGCUUGGCUCCUGCAGAAUGAUUCCCCCGGCACACAUUGCAAUCACAUCAGCCCUCCUUUUCUCAGAAACAGUCACUCCAUUAAUGCUUUCAGUGCCACGUCUCCUGUGGCCUCAGCAUGUUAAUGCCCACAUUCUCCAUCAGUCACCCUCCACCACAUGACACUCCAUCUUACACUUGAACCACAGGCGAGAGCAAAGUGGAGGGAAAAGUGGCAGAAAUGAUAUUUCACCUGCUCUGGUAUUCUCAUAAGAACGCCUUCAAACGCAACCUCACAGGGUUUGAAUAUUAUACGACAGGAAAUAUUUUUUACUUAGUCACAACAAGGUAUGUUCAGAUAUUACAAACAAACAUCUCAGGAAAUAUGUACUGUGUAGAAAAAGCAUUAUGAUCUGAGAGCUUAUUAGUGAGCCAUCUAUUUAUACUACUGCAGAAGAAAACAAGUACUGAGGCCCAGUGUCACUUCAGCAUGAGGACAGGAGGAGUCCAUUAUUAGAGGAUGUCUAAGUACAUACUACUCCAAAUCUACCCCCUCAAGAGUUCUCAUCAGACACACAGUGCUUUCAUUAAGAUCCAUGAAGGUCAAGUUGUAUAUGUAGUUUAUUAUAUUACUUUUUUCCUGAUCCUGUAAAUAGAUCUCUAUUCUUCCUUCAUUAUUAUCUCUGUAACCAGGAGUCUGUAUGAGCUGUUGUUGUUGUUGUUGCUGCUGUCCCUCUCAGCCUCUCCAUCUAUCCUCUCUCUUCCCAAACCCAGUGGCAGCAGGUUGAGUCAGACCUCGCUCAAGGUUUUCUGCCUGUUAAAGGGACGUUUUUACUUGCCAUCAUAACUUGUUAAAUACUGCUAAGUGCUUCACUCACGUUGGUUUGGGAUGGGUUAAAUCUUCUCCCAUCUCAAAGUUGGGUCUUUGUAAUACAUCAAACAAUGAGUUAGGUCUAGACCUGCUCUUUUGGAAAUACCUUCUGCAUCCCUAUUUUUGUAUACUUUGGGGGCUUAAAAGUGAAUUUAAUGCACAAGUUCUUUGCUUUUUUUGUGUGCAUAGAAGAAACUGCUUGUUUUGCCUGCUUUGCUGUUGUUUUUUAUGCAAACAUAUGAUUGCCUGUCUGUACCUGCUAUAAUGGUAGUUUUUAUUCAGUGGUUUAUGUAUUAUGU
rnacentral:lncRNA from 1 species